GAUGAACGCUAGCGACAGGCCUAACACAUGCAAGUCGAGGGGUAGCACAGAAUAGCUUGCUAUUUGGGUGACGACCGGCGCACGGGUGAGUAACGCGUAUGCAACCUGCCUGUAACAGGGGAAUAGCCUCUUGAAAGAGAGAUUAAUGCCGCAUAAUACGAGAUUCGGGCAUCCGGAUUUAGUUAAACAUUUAUGGGUUACAGAUGGGCAUGCGUUUCAUUAGGUAGUUGGUGAGGUAACGGCUCACCAAGCCGACGAUGAAUAGGGGUUCUGAGAGGAAGGUCCCCCACACUGGUACUGAGACACGGACCAGACUCCUACGGGAGGCAGCAGUGAGGAAUAUUGGUCAAUGGACGCAAGUCUGAACCAGCCAAGUCGCGUGAAGGAUGAAGGUAUUAUGUAUUGUAAACUUCUUUUGUCAGGGAAUAAUGACCGCUACGUGUAGCGGAGAGGAAUGUACCUGACGAAUAAGCAUCGGCUAACUCCGUGCCAGCAGCCGCGGUAAUACGGAGGAUGCGAGCGUUAUCCGGAUUUAUUGGGUUUAAAGGGUGCGUAGGCGGUUUGUUAAGUCAGUGGUGAAAGUUUGCGGCUCAACCGUAAAAUUGCCAUUGAAACUGGCGAACUUGAGUACAGUANAGGUAGGCGGAAUUC
rnacentral:rRNA from 1 species